GACGUAGGGCGCAAGCGUUGUCCGGAUUUAUUGGGCGUAAAGAGCUCGUAGGCGGCUCGUUGCGUCGGCUGUGAAAACCCGCAGCUCAACUGUGGGCUUGCAGCCGAUACGGGCGGGCUGGAGUUCGGUAGGGGAGACUGGAAUUCCUGGUGUAGCGGUGAAAUGCGCAGAUAUCAGGAGGAACACCGGUGGCGAAGGCGGGUCUCUGGACAGUUCCUGACGCUGAGGCACGAAGGCCAGGGGAGCAAACGGG
rnacentral:rRNA from 1 species